CUAUUUUUCACCAGACUGUAUACUAUAACUUGUUGUAUCUUCUAUAAGUCAGAGAAAUGUACUGGUCAUUGUAUAAUUUACAGUGGAAGGAGAUAUGCAGAUAUGCAAUGUCCACUGAGAUAUGUUUGUAUAAGCUUGUAUACUUAUCAUGUAGCAAUUAUCAAAUUGAUUAUUUAUAUUUGUGUUCUUCUUACAGAAAUACCAAACAACAUUUUGCAAGGAUUUAGAGGUCAUUGGUGAAAAUGGAAGAAAGGACAUGGGUACAUCUAAUUUUAAAUGAAAUAACAAGAAUAGUUAAAUGAUUUACAACCAAGCAGCACUCAGCAAUAGUGAUGGUAAAGUAUUUUUAUAAAAUGAUACUCAAAAAAAGAUAUAUACAGUGUGGUGGUUUAUAUAUUCCUCCAUUGCUACAGUCGCUGCAUUCAUCACCACACUCUCCAUAUAUAUCCCAACAGUCUCAAUAGGUACCCCCAUACUAUGAUUAUCUAUCACUACAGUCUCAAUAGCUAUUUCCAUACUAUGAUUAUAUAUCACUACAGUCUCAAUAUCUAUCCUCAUACCAUGAUUAUCUAUCACUACAGUCUCAAUAGCUAUACCCAUACUAUGAUUAUCUAUCACUACACUCUCCAUUCAGAUGCCAACAGUCAUUAUGUAUAUAUCAUAAUAGUCUCUAUGUAUAUCUCAGGAUAAUACAAAAGCUUCCCCUUUACUUUAUUUAUCAAUCACCUCACUUUAUAUAUCAAUCACCACACUCUCUAUAUAUAUAUCCCCAUACUCUCUAUAUCUACCCCAAAAGUCUCUAUGUUAUCCACAUAAUAACACCUUAGAUCACCUUACUUUAUUUAUCAAUCACCUCACUUUAUAUAUCAAUCACCACACUCUAUAUAUAUAUCCCCAACUCUCUAUAUCUGCCUCAAAAGUCUCUCUGUAUAUAUCUCCACACAAUAAACCUUUAUCACCUUACUUUAUUUAUCAAUCACCUCACUUUAUAUAUCAAUCACCACACACUCUCUAUAUAUAUUCCCAUACUUUCGAUAUCUAUCCCCACAGUUUCUAUGUUUAUGACCACAUUAUAAACACCUAUCACCUUACUUUUUUUAUCAACCACCUCACUACAUAUAUCAAUCACCACAUACUCUCUAUAUAUAUCUCCAUUCUCUCUAUAUUUACCCAAAAUUCUCUAUGUAUAUCUCCACACAAUAUACCAUAUCACCUUACUGGAAAUACCAAUAACCUCACUUUGUAAAUCAAUUGCUCAUUUCAUAUGUAUCACCUCACUCAGAAUAUCUAUCAGUUCACUGUUAAUAUUUUCACCUCAAUUUAUACAUUAUGUCUUUCACACCACUGGGUAUAUCUCUCAAAGCCCUAUUUAUUCCAACUUGAAAGUGGAUAUGAGUAUGAUAAUAAUCCAUGUUUCUGUACAGAAAUCUGUUUAUGUUAAUUUAGAUUUUAAACUUAAAAUGACUCAAUGUGACACCUAUCAUUGUUAUUAUUUUUUUUCUUCAGAAAAGUGAAACAAGAUUUUUGAUAGAUAGAAAAUAGGAGAAAAGGAAAAGGUAAUCUUCAUUGAAAUUUAAAGUAUUAUACAUAUGUAUGUUAAGAGUUAAUUAGCAAAGUAUUAUACAUAUGUAUGUAAAGAGUUAAUUAGCAAAGUAUUAUACAUAUGUAUGUAAAGAGUUAAUAAGCACUUAAACAAUCCUGGUUGAAAUGAAAUAAUUUAAAAGAAAUGUUUUUUAAAGUAUAACCGCUCCAACACUGUCAUGCAAUAUUUUAUGUAAAUAUCAUGUCAGGCAUCUUUUCAGUAAAAGCAGCAAAUAUGAUAUACUAACUGGGGGUCAAUGAUUGUAACAUUCAAAAUGAGUAAACCUUAUAAAUAUAUUGUUUCAGUGUUAUUGCACUUGAAGCAUUGUCUACAGUAUACAUCUGCUGGCACACACAUAAUGUAUAUACCACCACCACAUAUUAUGUAUCUACUGCCACACAUAAUAUAAUUAUGGCCACAUAUAAUAUAUCGACCGCCACACAUAAUAAAUCAACACACUGUGUAUAUCUAUCACCAUAUUAUGUUUGUCUAUCACCACACUAUUGUUUAUCACCACAUUAUUGUCUAUCACCACACUAUCUUAUUUGUCUAUCACCACACUAUGUGUUGUUCUAUCACCACACUAUGUUUGUCUAUCACCACACUAUGUUUGUCUAUCACCACACUAUCUUUGUCUAUCACCACACUACGUUUGUCUAUCACCACACUAUGUUUUUCUCUCACCAUUCUAUGUUUGUCUAUCACCACACUUUAUAUUUUAAUCAUCACAGUUGUAAAGCAAAGAAAAGUAAUUACCCAAGAAAAAAAUGAUUUGAACUUUUCAUUUAAAUGAUUGGUCUCACAAAUGAAUUGUAUUUCUAUAAGUUUUACAUUUUGAUACUGUCUUGGGAUUCUGCCAUUGCAAUGAUGAAAACACUCCUAUUUGUCCUUAGAUGGAAAACAAAUGACAACUGUUUGGGACUUUUAAAUUUUGUAUUGUUUUGGAAUAAUUAUUUAUUCAACUGAACCAUAUUGUUAUGUUUUAGGUUAAACAAGAUUUAGUGCCUGCCACACAAUUAAGAAAGAAUGAGAGGCAAGAAUGUCUACAGAACAGAGGAGAUUAUUUGUACUGCACUUCGAUUUGUGUUAUAGUUAUAUUCAAUUAGUAUUAAAGAGUUAUGUACAAUAAAUCAUGUUAUAUUAUGUUCUUUAAAAAAUACU
rnacentral:lncRNA from 1 species